CGACACCUAAGUUUUCUGGAAAGGAAUGCCACAGAGGGUGAUAGCCCCGUACGGUGUUGACUCGAUACAGAGUCCUAACAUGGAGUCGAGUUGUUUGGGAAUGCAGCUCAAAUGGGUGGUAUGCUCCAUCUAAGGCUAAAUAUUUGCGAGAGACCGAUAGCGAACAAGUACUGUGAAGGAAAGAUGAAAAGAACUUUGAAAAGAGAGUGAAAUAGUACGUGAAAUUGUUGAAAUGGAAGGGUAGGCCGCUAACCAUGUAGGACCGUGUUUGGGGGGAAGAUAAAUGCUGUAGAAUGUGGCUCCUCGGAGUGUUAUAGCUACAG
rnacentral:rRNA from 1 species